GAUGCUUAAAAGAUUGAUAAGAUGAUAACCAAUGGUACAUGAGUGCACCACUAAUUCACCAUAUUAGUGGACUGACCGAACUUUUACACUUGGACACUUUCACCAAGGGGUAGUAGACCUUAUGAAUGGAAUGGAUCUCACACGUGUAUGCAACACUAGCACACGUGAGGGCCCUUAUAUUUGUCCUCUGUAGAAGUGCAUCCACAAGAAGGACUAACUCCUUCAAAUGAUUUGCAAAAUUGGUUACAGCUUUUGCAAGAAAUGCUCACUGAUGAGAAGUAUAGAUUGAGGCAGAGUUUUGUCUAUCGCUAUAGUUUCUUGGACUUCAAAGUUGUUGCAUUGCUUGUGUUUGUAUUUCAUGCAUACAAGCAAACACUUGUAGCCUACAUGUUUGUGCGAGCAUAAAAGUGUUUUUUACCAACCAUCCCUUAUUGACUUGGCAUGAGAACAGAAUAAUGGAAAUUCGCAAAGCAUUACAUUUUUAUUUUUUAUUUUUAUUUAUUUAUUUUGGCAGUUGUUGAACCGUGCCAGGAAAUGUCAAUAAUGCAGCCCAAUUCAGAGUAAUGGAAGAAUCUCCGAUAAAAUCUCUUUAUUCACAUUGAGAACACUAGAGACAUCAUUGUCAGCGGUUACCUAAUCAGGGCAAUAUAUGGGAGCUAGUGAAGAUCUCAACUUUUCGAUGGCUCAAUGAGAUGGCGCAUACUUGAAGUUUCGGAUACAGGUCAAAUCUUGAUCUCCAAUCUUCCUAUGGAUGACCUGACUACAAUUUUGCACCUUGCAACAAAUACCAUUCUAUGAAUGGAUUCGACCAAACUUCCAUCGGAUACAACAACUUGGAUUAGAGAAGCCAGACCUGGUACCUUUCAUCCCUUUCAUGUUCAAGUAUUCGAGGGAAAAGGGGAUGCAAGUCGAAGUAAUGGUUGUCUACUUUGCAAUUGAGGCUCCGUGGCUUAGUCCAUUCAUGGAUGUGGCCCACUAGACUGCAUGGACAAAUGAUCAAG